rnacentral:snRNA from 1 species
AUAAUUACCUGGCAGGGGAAAUACCUUGAUCACGAAGGAGGUUUUCCCAGGGUGAGGCUCAUCCAUUGCACUCUGGAUGUGCUGACCCCUGCGAUUUCCCUAAAUGCAGGAAACCCUACUACCUGAUUUGUGGUAGCAUUGCAGCUGCUGCAU